rnacentral:tRNA from 1 species
UCCCUGGUGGUCCAGUGGCUAAGACCCUGCGCUUCCAAUGCAGGGGGCCUGGGUUCGAUUCCUAGUCAGGGAA